UACGUAGGGUGCAAGCGUUGUCCGGAAUUAUUGGGCGUAAAGAGCUCGUAGGCGGUUUGUCGCGUCGAAUGUGAAAACCCGGGGCUCAACUCCGGGCCUGCAUUCGAUACGGGCAGACUAGAGUUCGGUAGGGGAGACUGGAAUUCCUGGUGUAGCGGUGAAAUGCGCAGAUAUCAGGAGGAACACCGGUGGCGAAGGCGGGUCUCUGGGCCGAUACUGACGCUGAGGAGCGAAAGCUAGGGGAGCAAACAGG
rnacentral:rRNA from 1 species